AUGGCGACCGUCGUCGGCAUCGUCAUCCUGCUUUUCCAAUUCAAACCGUUCCUGGCGGCCGCCGAUGUAUUCUGCGACAAUCUUAAGGUCGUCGCCGCGAGCCUCCCCAAGAACAUCUCUUCUUCCCCGGUACACUUCGCUACCGCCACCUUCGGCCAAUCCCCCGACGUGGUCUACGCGCUUGCGCUCUGCCGCGGUGACCUCCUCAACGACACCGCCUGCGGCGAGUGCGUCACUAACACGUUCAAACUAACGCCACCGCCGCCGCAGCAGUGUUACCGCACCGCCCUCUACUCCGUGGCCGCCUACUUCGCCGUCAACCCCUGUGUCCUUGCCUACUCUGCCGACAACAUCCUCGCGCCCGGCAACGGCGACGACAUGUUCUUGGAGUUUUGGACCGCCAAAAACGUCACCGGCGACGUCCGCCUCAUCACCGGCCUUAUCCAUGAGCUGCUCGUGGCGACCGUGGAAAAGGCGGCCAGCACGGAGCCGACGCGGUUCGCCACGGGAGUCGUGGACAGUCGCACCACCUUCCCAUUGGUGUAUUCCCUGGCGCAGUGCACGCCGGACCUGUCCGCCGGCGACUGCUUGGCGUGCCUGCGUCGUCUCCUCGGGAGGAUCAACUCCACCACGUCCCAGUUUAUCGGAGGGCAGAUGUACGACAUACGGUGUAACUUCAGGUACGAGUCGUUUUCGUUCUACGGUGGGGAACCAAUGUUGCGUCUUGGGCCGUCAUUGGCGCCCGCGGGAGCUCCGACUCCGACCAACAAGAGACGUAUCAGCAAGCCGUGGGUAAUUCCCAUAGUUGUGGUGCCUCUAGCAGCAGCAACGUUUCUCUGCUUCACGUUUUAUUCUCGUUGGGUCAAAGCACAUCAUGUUGGCUCCACUUUAAGAUAUUCAGGGUCAAGGCGUGCUCAGGAUAUGGAGGGAGAGAAACAACUAGUUUGGCAUGGGAAGAAUUCAGAGUUCUCCGUGUACGAUUACGAACGGGUACAGGACGCCACAAAUAAUUUUUCAGACGGAAACAAACUUGGACAAGGUGGCUUUGGCACUGUCUACAAGGGCCAGUUUCGUGAGGGAUUGGAGAUAGCAGUAAAGAGACUGGCUUCACAUUCAGGACAAGGUUUCAUAGAGUUCAAAAAUGAAGUCCAACUCAUAGCCAAACUGCAGCACACGAAUUUGGUUAGGCUCUUGGGAUGUUGCUCUCAAGAAGAUGAGAAAAUAUUGAUAUAUGAGUACUUGCCAAACAAAAGCUUGGAUUUCUUCAUCUUUGAUGAAAAUAAAAGAGCUUUGUUGGAUUGGUCCCAACUUGUAGCAAUAAUCGAAGGAGUGGCACAUGGACUUCUUUACUUACAUAAGCACUCCCGGUUGCGUGUCAUACAUAGAGAUCUUAAGCCAAGCAACAUUCUCUUGGACAGUGAGAUGAAUCCAAAAAUUUCAGAUUUCGGGCUAGCAAAAAUAUUCGACUCAAAUAAGCCAGAAGGGAACAAUACAAGGAGAGUGGUUGGCACAUAUGGCUAUAUGGCUCCUGAGUAUGCUGCAGAAGGUAUCUUAUCUAUUAAAUCCGAUGUCUUCAGCUUUGGUGUUGUUGUUCUUGAGAUCCUUAGCGGAAAGCGGAAUUCUGGUAGCAAACAGUGUGGAGAUUUCAUCAAUCUUCUUGGAUAUGCAUGGCAAUUAUGGGAAGAGGAAAGAUGGAUUGAUCUCAUCCAUGUGUCAUUGGUUCCUGAGAGUCACUCAACAAAGCUGAUGAGGUGCAUUAAUAUAGCAUUGCUUUGUGUACAAGAGAAUGCAGCUGAUCGACCAACCAUGCCAGAUAUUGUUGGAAUGCUAAGAAGUGAGACAAUGAUCAUAACUCAGCCUAAGCAACCAGCAUAUUUCAAUGUAAGGGUUGGAAAUGAAGAGGCCCUGACUCCACUUGAGUCAUGCAGUAUUAAUGAUAUGAUUGUAUCAGUCACAAGUCCUAGAUAG
rnacentral:rRNA from 1 species